CUACUGGGGUAUCUAAUCCCGUUUGCUCCCCUAGCUUUCGCGCCUCAGCGUCAAGAACAGGCCAGGUAGUCGCCUUCGCCACUGGUGUUCCUCCCGAUAUCUACGCAUUUCACCACUACACCGGGAAUUCCACUACCCUCUCCUGCCUUCGAGUCGAUCAGUAUCGCGUGACCCUCCCCAGUUGAGCCGGGGGCUUUCACACGCGACUUGAACGACCGCCUGCGCGCUCUUUACGCCCAGUAAAUCCGGACAACGCUUGCCACCUACGUAUUACCGCGGCUGCUGGCAC
rnacentral:rRNA from 1 species